rnacentral:rRNA from 1 species
AGGACGAACGCUGGCGGCGUGCUUAACACAUGCAAGUCGAAUGGAAAGGCCCCCUUGUGGGGUACUCGAGUGGCGAACGGGUGAGUAACACGUGAGUAACCUACCCUUGACUUUGGGAUAACUUCAGGAAACUGGGGCUAAUACCGGAUAGGAGCUCCUGCUGCAUGGUGGGGGUUGGAAAGUUUCGGCGGUUGGGGAUGGACUCGCGGCUUAUCAGCUUGUUGGUGGGGUAGUGGCUCACCAAGGCUUUGACGGGUAGCCGGCCUGAGAGGGUGACCGGCCACAUUGGGACUGAGAUACGGCCCAGACUCCUACGGGAGGCAGCAGUGGGGAAUAUUGCACAAUGGGCGGAAGCCUGAUGCAGCAACGCCGCGUGCGGGAUGACGGCCUUCGGGUUGUAAACCGCUUUCGCCUGUGACGAAGCGUGAGUGACGGUAAUGGGUAAAGAAGCACCGGCUAACUACGUG